rnacentral:rRNA from 1 species
ACGAACGUUGGCGGCGUGCCUAAUACAUGCAAGUCGCGCGAGAAACGGGGGGCAACUCCCGGAGUAAAGCGGCGAAAGGGUGCGUAAUACAUGGAGAACGUACCCUCCAGAUCGGGAUAACCCGGGGAAACUCGGACUAAUACCGGAUGACAUCCUGGGGAGGCAUCUCUUCGGGAUCAACGCUUAUCGAAAGAUAGGUGCUGGGGGAGCGCUCCAUGGCCUAUCAGCUAGUUGGCGGGGUAACGGCCCACCAAGGCUGUGACGGGUAGCCGGACUUAGAGGUCGACCGGCCACAUGGGCACUGAGACACGGGCCCAACACCUACGGGUGGCAGCAGUAGGGAAUAUUGCGCAAUGGGCGAAAGCCUGACGCAGCGACGCCGCGUGGAGGACGAAGGCCUUCGGGUUGUAAACUCCUUUCGUGGGGGAAGAACACUGACUUAACCCCAGGAAGAAGCACCGGCUAACUCCGU